rnacentral:rRNA from 1 species
UUCCUACGGGGCGCAGCAGUGGGGAAUAUUGCACAAUGGGGGGAACCCUGAUGCAGCGACGCCGCGUGGGCGAGGAAGUAUUUCGGUAUGUAAAGCCCUAUCGGCAGGGAAGAAGAAAUGACGGUACCUGACUAAGAAGCCCCGGCUAACUACGUGCCAGCAGCCGCGGUAAUACGUAGGGGGCAAGCGUUAUCCGGAUUUACUGGGUGUAAAGGGAGCGUAGACGGCACUGCAAGUCCGGAGUGAAAGCCCAAGGCUUAACCAUGGGACUGCUCUGGAAA